rnacentral:misc_RNA from 1 species
GAAAUGCGAUAAGUAAUGUGAAUUGCAGAAUUCAGUGAAUCAUCGAAUCUUUGAACGCACAUUGCACCCGCCAGAAUUCUGGCGGGCAUGCCUGUUCGAGCGUCAUUUCAACCCUCGAGCUCCCCUUGCGGGGGGAGCCCGGCGUUGGGGACGCGGCGCCAACAGCGCCGGCCCCGAAAUGGAGUGGCGGCCCGUCCGCGGCGACCUCUGCGUAGUAACAUCCACUCGCACCGGGACCCGGGCGCGGCCACGCCGUAAAACACCCCACCUUCCGAAUGUUGACCUCGAAUCAGGUAGGAAUACCCGCUGAACUUAAGC